rnacentral:lncRNA from 1 species
AGGGGUCGAUGAGUCGCAUAAAAGGCUGUGGUAAUGCCUUCUCUCGGAGUCGUUGAGUCGCAGGCUCCAGAUUUUGACCAGCGCGUCUUGGCUAAUUGUCGAUUUAACCGAUUUUAGGAUAACCGUCGAUUAAUUAAGACGAAGAGCCGGAAAGUCGCGGGAGCCAUCGGGAUCUUAGGGAGAAUUUCGAGGCCCAUUUAGGCCCGUUUAGGCUUUAAUAAUGAUACCUCGAAUUUUUCCCCCUUUUUCCUUCAUAAAUGCAUCGAGAAGUCGAAACGCCGCGAGAGCCGGCUGGGUUUUUAGGGAGAAUUUCGAGG